UCCCUUUCUGCCCUCUGCCAUGUGAGGUCACAGUGUUCCUCCCUCCUGAGGAUGCAGUGUUCAUGAAAGCAAACACUGGGCCCUCACCAGGCAACAAACCUGCUGGUGCCUUCAUCUUGGACUUCCCAGCCUUCGGAACUGGUUAAGAAGCUCCACUGCGCUUUGUCCAUUGCAAGUUGAGAAGUGAGGCCCCAGCUGUCACAUACAGGCUCCAUCACAAGAGGGAGCCCCAUUGCUAGUCCCCAUCCUCAAAGCCUCUGCGUGAUGUUGUCUACUGUUACUCUUCACUACCCUGUGGGAGCCAAAGCCCUGGACAUAAGAACAGAAGGCAAGGCAGUGGUGGCUGAGAGGAAGAACUGACACCUUUGUGCUAUCAGAGCACUUUGCAGAGGAGCUGUUAGUGGCCCUGUAGGAGUCUGCUGGCCAUACAUCUGGGUGUCAAAUCAAGAGAGCAUGAGAAGUUGGACAGGAAAGGUCCAAGGCAAAAUGGUUACUAAAGGCCAUCCCUGAUCCUGACCCUAAAAGAAGAAAAGGCCCUUUGCUCUUGGCAUGCUUUUGCAGGAGUGUCUCAGUCUGUUUGGGCUGCUAUAACAUUGACUGGGUGAUCUGCCUGCCUGGCCUCCCAAAGUGCUGGGGUUACAGGUGUGAGCCGCUGCACCAGGCCUUGAGGUCAGGAGUUCGAGACCAGCCUGGCCAACAUGGUGAAACCUGUCUUUACUAAAAAUACAGAAAUUAGCCAGGCAUGGAGGCGCAUGCCUGUAAUCCCAGCUACUGGGGAGGCUGAGGCAGGAGAAUCGCUUGAACCCAGAAGGUGGAGGUUGCGGUGAGCCCAGAUAGUGCCAUUGCACUCUAGCCUGGCCAACAAGAGUGAAACUCUGUCUCAAAAAAUAAAUAAACAAACAAACAAACAACAA
rnacentral:lncRNA from 1 species